rnacentral:rRNA from 1 species
GAUUACGCCAAGCUAUUUAUGUGACACUAUAGAAUACUCAAGCUAUGCAUCCAACGCGUUGGGAGCUCUCCCAUAUGGUCGACCUGCAUGCGGCCGCACUAGUGAUUGUAGUCAUAUGCUUGUCUCAAAGAUUAAGCCAUGCAUGUCUAAGUAUAAGCAACUAUACGGUGAAACUGCGAAUGGCUCAUUAAAUCAGUUAUCGUUUAUUUGAUAGUACCUUACUACAUGGAUAACCGUGGUAAUUCUAGAGCUAAUACAUGCUAAAAACCUCGACUUCGGAAGGGGUGUAUUUAUUACAUAAAAAACCAAUGCCCUUCGGGGCUCCUUGGUGAAUCAUAAUAACUUAACGAAUCGCAUGGCCUUGCGCCGGCGAUGGUUCAUUCAAAUUUCUGCCCUAUCAACUUUCUAUGG